CAAAAGGGUGUUUGCCGUCAGUGGCAGAGGGCACUCUGAUGCUCUUCGGAAUCGCCAUCAAGAGAUUUCGGACACAAAAUCUUUGGAGCACGGUGGCUGUUGGCUGUUGUUACGCUGACGCCCCA